GACCGUGGAAGGAAAUUAGGUGCAGCUAUCAAGCCAAGUUUAAGAGAAUUAAUAUUUGUUUGCCAGCCUUCAGUUUAAGAGUUACUGAACAUUGUUUCUUGGUGAUCUAAGAUCCUGCAUGUGACAAGUUGUUCCCGGUUUCAAAGCUUCUCAGAAGGCCAGCCCAGAGCUGAGAGGUAGAUAUGUGGUUAAUCUUAUCUGUACUGAAUUCAAUCGUAUAGCAAUCUCUAUGUCUUCACUGAUUCUUGACAUAAAUUAGGUGUCUGUUUACCAAAAAAAAAAAAGAACACCCGGUACUAGGAAAAUUACUAAGUGUAACUACAGAAUAAUUUAAAACAUGAUAAUAUGUAAUCAAUAUAUCUUGCCAUUUGUUCUAGAGCAAAGAGUUCAUACUUGCUCUUAUCUCAGACUGUUUGUGCCCGAUCUAUAUGUUCUGUAGACAAAAGUGAAUAGGCCGAUGUCAAAGGCUGGCGAUUUUUAUGUAGGUAUCCCCUAAAAAUGAUAUUUGAAGAAAUUUAGAGGACAAGCAAGAGAUAUAUGGAUAUCUAAAAAGCAAUUUAACAGAAAAAAUCAACAUUACCGACCGACAUUCGUGCCAAAUAGAACUGUUUCCCAUCCUCCUCUCGCUCCCAGUAAAAGACUCCUCACCCAGAAAAAUCAAAAGCUGCUCCACUUGUAUCUCCCCUUGACCAUAUUACCACCGCAGAUUUGGAAUGUUCCUUCCUUGAACUUCUGAUCCAGAAACACCCAUGGAGGGUAUCCUUCUUCUCCUUCUUCCACCACCAUAAAUGGCAGCCACCACCUUCCUAGUACAACGUACUGCACACUGUUUGGUCCUUACUUUUCUUAGUAUGUCAUACACAGAACUGUACUUUCUUAUCUUGCCAAUGUUCCUUGUACAGUAAGUGUCGGAUUUCUAAUAGUAGGAGUACUAUCCAGCUUAUGCACACUAUAUAGAAAUUUUGUUUCGCUGAUUAUGCUAGCGAUAAUGUGAUUCCAUAUGAAUAACUGAUUCACGACAUCUUUUUCUUGCAGGUCAAUUUGUGCAAACUAGCAAGUUUGUUACACUACUGAAC
rnacentral:lncRNA from 1 species